AAACUAUACGGUUAAGUUGACAAGAAGAUACUGGCUAGUCACAAAAUUGGAAGAGGAAUUGUACACUAUAAACCCGUUGCCAACAGUAACAUCCUAAGUUAAGAAGAAGAGGACAUCUUGCAGCAGAAAAGGAAGCCACUGUCCUUUCAAUUGUGAGUUCACACAUAUUAUCAACGCUCAACGGCUAAAGAACGUGCUUAGA
rnacentral:misc_RNA from 1 species